UGUAGCUUGGGGGAGCUGCAGGUCAUGUCAGCUUGGUAGUUUAGCUGAGCUGCACUAAAGAUGGGUUUGCCCGGGCCUCAUGCAUAGUGGUGGCGUUGCAUGGUCGUGCUAUGUGGAUUUGAUAUGUGUAGUACUGAAGGGCAGCUUGGUGGGUUGCGGAUCAGUGACACAGUGGUUAUGUCUUGGCACGAGGGUAUGUUGAGGAUCAAGACAUCUGGGAUGAGC
rnacentral:lncRNA from 1 species